rnacentral:misc_RNA from 1 species
UUUCCGUAGGUGAACCUGCGGAAGGAUCAUUAUCCAUCUCAACCAGGUUGCUGGUCGCGGCCCUCGGGGGUUCUCUCCCGGGUGGUAGGGGCUGACACCCUUCACGCGUUGCCGCAUUCCUGAAUCCUUUUUUUACGAGCACCUUUCGUUCUCCUUCGGUGGGGCAACCUGCCGCUGGAACUUAACAAAACCUUUUUUGCAUCUAGCAUUACCUGUUCUGAUACAAACAAUCGUUACAACUUUCAACAAUGGAUCUCUUGGCUCUGGCAUCGAUGAAGAACGCAGC